rnacentral:rRNA from 1 species
GAUGAACGCUGGCGGCGUGCCUAAUACAUGCAAGUCGAGCGAACGGACGAGAAGCUUGCUUCUCUGAUGUUAGCGGCGGACGGGUGAGUAACACGUGGAUAACCUACCUAUAAGACUGGGAUAACUUCGGGAAACCGGAGCUAAUACCGGAUAAUAUUUUGAACCGCAUGGUUCAAAAGUGAAAGACGGUCUUGCUGUCACUUAUAGAUGGAUCCGCGCUGCAUUAGCUAGUUGGUAAGGUAACGGCUUACCAAGGCAACGAUGCAUAGCCGACCUGAGAGGGUGCUCGGCCACACUGGAACUGAGCCACGGUCCAGACUCCUACGGGAGGCACCAGUAGGGAAUCUUCCGCCAUGGGCGAAAGCCUGACGGAGCAACGCCGCGUGAGUGAUGAAGGUCUUCGGAUCGUAAAACUCUGUUAUUAGCGAAGACCAUAUGUGUAAGUAACUGUGCACAUCUUGACGUUACCUAAUCAGAAAGCCACGGCUAACUACGUG